UACGUAGGGGGCAAGCGUUGUCCGGAAUUAUUGGGCGUAAAGAGCGCGUAGGCGGUCCGAUAAGUCGGCUGUGAAAGUCAGGGGCUCAACCCUUGGAAGCCGGCCGAUACUGUCGGACUAGAGUCCGGAAGAGGCGAGUGGAAUUCCCGGUGUAGCGGUGAAAUGCGCAGAUAUCGGGAGGAACACCAAUGGCGAAGGCGGCAUCCUGGACCGACACUGACGCUGAGGAGCGAAAGCCAGGGGAGCAAACGGG
rnacentral:rRNA from 1 species